AUAAUGACGGUACCCGCAGAAUAAGCCCCGGCUAACUUCGUGCCAGCAGCCGCGGUAAUACGAAGGGGGCUAGCGUUGUUCGGAAUUACUGGGCGUAAAGCGCACGUAGGCGGAUUGCUAAGUCAGGGGUGAAAUCCCGGGGCUCAACCUCGGAACUGCCUUUGAUACUGACAGUCUUGAGUCCGGAAGAGGUGAGUGGAAUUCCUAGUGUAGAGGUGAACUUCGUGUAUAUUAGGAAGAACACCAGUGGCGAAGG
rnacentral:rRNA from 1 species